GGAAGCGAGAGGAGCGGAAGUCAGUCGGAGCUGUUCGUGGAGACGAUCAGCAGAUGUUUAUUCCUGUGCGGACUUUCUUUCUCCUCUUUCAUGCUGGGUUAGUGGUGUGCGGCCAUGAGACUCAAACUGGCUACAGCCAACUACAGAGAGGACGACAGGAAACUGACUGACUGGAAUUUAAACAUGAAAGUCUGGUUUAAUUUUGGGUGUGGUGGACCCCGCGAGGCCCAUGUGCAUGUGCCCUCAUCUGGUGAUCCAUUCACGUCACAAUUUAGCAUGACGUCCUUCUGAGGAGAGCGAGCUGCUGAAACACUGGAUGGAAAGGUCCUAACUUAAAAAAGGAAUCUGGCUUCAUGAGAGAAAGGAAAGAAGAAAAAAAUCUUUUCCCGUGCUGAGUUUGAGGUACAGUGGGUCGAGGGAAACACUGAGGCUACACAGAAUGAAGGUGAAGUGAUAUCUGUCAGGUUCUGGACUUGUAAUGGAAGAGACUACAUGGCUUUGUACUCAGGGGACCUCGAGCUGGAGAGGUCACGAGCUAUGAGAUGAGUGGGUGUCAGACAUAAAUGAAAAGGAGAAUGUGAAACAGAGCGGGGGGGAGUCAUGCGGAAAACAAUGGUUCAGUCGUAUUACUUCCCCCAUUCACAGCUGUGAGCUGUAGACCUGCAGGGUUUCCUGUCUGAUAAAAAAUCUGAUCUGCGGACUGUAACGAGAGGAGAGAAGCCUUAUCAUGAAAUAAGAUGUAGAGACAGCAGAAAACAGGAGUGAUAGGAAUCGCUUCAGAGAGAAAGAGCCGUAGACUUAGACAGAAAAAGAAGAGGUGAGGGUGAACGUGAGGCCAGGGGAAGUGAUGGAAUCCCAUAAACCCGAGAAGCUGAGCAGAGAUGGCGAGCUCUGUGUUUCAGGUGAUUUUUCUUUGAGUAAAGCUGCAGACCUUUGACCCACUUCAUACCUGGAAAGGAUUUCGUUUCAAUCCCCGAGCUUUAUUUUUGUCAGAGGGGAGGAAUCCCGAAUAGAGGCAGCUGCCGCUUGGCCGAACUGUCUCUGGGCAAGGCAUCAAAUCUCUCAGCUGUAUUUUAAAACAGAUGCAAAUAAAAGUAAAGUGAAUCAAAAGUAAAUAAAAAGACAUCAAAAAGAGAUAAUUUUGGUUGUUUUUGUUGGUUUUUAUCUCAUUUGGGGUUUUGUAAAUAU